UACGUAGGGGGCUAGCGUUGUCCGGAAUCAUUGGGCGUAAAGCGCGUGUAGGCGGUCCGGUAAGUCCGCUGUGAAAGUCGGGGGCUCAACCCUCGGAUGCCGGUGGAUACUGUCGGGCUAGAGUCCGGAAGAGGCGAGUGGAAUUCCUGGUGUAGCGGUGGAAUGCGCAGAUAUCAGGAGGAACACCGAUAGCGAAGGCAGCUCGCUGGGACGGUACUGACGCUGAGGUGCGAAAGCGUGGGGAGCGAACAGG
rnacentral:rRNA from 1 species